rnacentral:rRNA from 1 species
GAACGCUGGCGGCAGGCCUAACACAUGCAAGUCGAACGAACUCUUCGGAGUUAGUGGCGGACGGGUGAGUAACACGUGGGAACGUGCCUUUUGGUUCGGAAUAACUCAGGGAAACUUGUGCUAAUACCGAAUGUGCCCUUCGGGGGAAAGAUUUAUCGCCAUUAGAGCGGCCCGCGUCUGAUUAGCUAGUUGGUGAGGUAACGGCUCACCAAGGCGACGAUCAGUAGCUGGUCUGAGAGGAUGACCAGCCACACUGGGACUGAGACACGGCCCAGGCUCCUACGGGAGGCAGCAGUGGGGAAUCUUGCGCAAUGGGCGAAAGCCUGACGCAGCCAUGCCGCGUGAAUGAUGAAGGUCUUAGGAUUGUAAAAUUCUUUCACCGGGGACGAUAAUGACGGUACCCGGAGAAGAAGCCCCGGCUAACUUCGUG